rnacentral:rRNA from 1 species
GCGGCGUGCCUAAUACAUGCAAGUCGAGCGGAUCUUGUCCUUCGGGACAAGGUUAGCGGCGGACGGGUGAGUAACACGUAGGCAACCUGCCCUCAAGACUGGGAUAACCUCCGGAAACGGAUGCUAAUACCGGAUAUGCGGUUUCUCCUCCUGGAGAGACCGGGAAAGACGGAGCAAUCUGUCACUUGGGGAUGGGCCUGCGGCGCAUUAGCUAGUUGGUGAGGUAACGGCUCACCAAGGCGACGAUGCGUAGCCGACCUGAGAGGGUGAUCGGCCACACUGGGACUGAGACACGGCCCAGACUCCUACGGGAGGCAGCAGUAGGGAAUCUUCCGCAAUGGACGCAAGUCUGACGGAGCAACGCCGCGUGAGUGAGGAAGGCCUUCGGGUCGUAAAGCUCUGUGCCAGGGAAGAACGGGGGAAGA